rnacentral:rRNA from 1 species
CUGGCUCAGAACGAACGCUGGUAGCGUGGAUUAGGCAUGCAAGUCGAACGGGAUCGGGGGUUAGCAAUAAUCUCCGUGAGAGUGGCGGAUUGGGGAGGAACACGUGAGCAACCUGCCCUUGAGUUGGGGAAAACCGUUGGAAACGACGGCUAAUACCGGAUGUGGCGCCUGGCGACAUCGCCGGAGCGCUAAAGGGGGCCCAAAAGGCUCCCGCUCGAGGAGGGGCUCGCGCACCAUCAGCUUGUUGGCGGGUAACGGCCCACCAAGGCGCACGGUUAGCUGGUCUGAGAGGAUGACCAGCCCCACUGGGACUGAGAUACUGCCCAGACUCCUACGGGAGGCUGCAGUCGAGGAUCAUUUGCAAUGGGCGAAAGCCUGACAAUGCGACGCUGCGUGGAGGAUGAAGGCCUUCGGGUUGUAAACUCCUGUCAUGGGGGAACAGGCGAGGGGAGUCAAUACCUCCCUUAGUUGAGUGUACCCCAAGAGGAAUUGGCGGCUAACUCUGUGCCAGCCGCCGC